UACGUAGGGGGCUAGCGUUGUCCGGAUUUAUUGGGCGUAAAGAGCGUGUAGGCGGCCCAGGUAGGUCUGCUGUGAAAACUCGAGGCUCAACCUCGAGACGUCGGCGGAAACCAUCUGGCUAGAGUCCGGAAGAGGAGAGUGGAAUUCCUGGUGUAGCGGUGAAAUGCGCAGAUAUCAGGAAGAACACCCGUGGCGAAGGCGGCUCUCUGGGACGGUACUGACGCUGAGACGCGAAAGCGUGGGGAGCGAACAGG
rnacentral:rRNA from 1 species